rnacentral:lncRNA from 1 species
AUGCGGGAGCGCUNNNNNNNNNNNNNNNNNNNNNNNNNNNNNNNNNNNNNNNNNNNNNNNNGGGAGGUGCUAGGAGGGGGGGGGGGUUGCGGGAGGGGUGGGGCCGGGGGCGGGGCGCCCGGGGGCGUGCACACCCGCGGGGACACGAGCUCCCGGCCGCGGCAACUCGCUCCAAGUUCCCUCCCUCGCUCUCUGGCGCUGGCAGUCAGAGUCCUCCCACUCGGCUCAGACGGAGCCGCCGCGGCCGCCGCCAGCUCGGCCCCCCGCUGCCUCGCGCCCCGGACCCCGCGGCCUUCCCAGUCCCUCGCUCUACCCUCCGGUGGCCCCGGCGGCCCGGCCCUCGUCCCUCGAGGGCCUCGACAAUUUUGCCUGCCGUCCCCGGAGCCCGGUGCCCGGCUCGAACUGCACAGGGGAGCGCGGACGAGCUGUUUUGUGCAGUGGAGAGUACUUGAAGGGAGCAAGGAUUCCCUGCAGUUCCUGCCUGCAACUGGGCAAACACUUACUCCCCUCUCAGCUCUGCCUGCAGUUGAACACAAAGACCUGGAGGAGACUCCCACAUCCUUCGGGGAGGAGAAAGGAGGCGGCGAGGCCCGAUUAAAGGAACUUGGGGGUUGGUUGCCUCUCUGCACCGGCCGGCCGGCGAGGGGGCGAGGGGAUUAGAGUCCCGGGUCGGUGACCGAGCGGGAGAUGAGGCGCUGCCGCCGCCGCUGACCCUCGGUUCCGGACCAUCCGCUGCGCUUUGUGCCGCCCGCACAUGUGUCUGCCCGGCGCAUCCGGAGGCGCGCACACGAGCAUCCACCACGGCCGCCGGGGAGAGAGUGCCCGCCAUGCCCACGGAGAGCCUACAGACAGGUAGCAUGGUGAAGCCGGUCAGCCCCGCCGGCACCUUCACGUCGGCCGUGCCCCUGCGCAUCCUCAACAAGGGGCCCGACUACUUUCGCCGCCAGGCGGAGCCCAACCCCAAGAGACUCAGCGCCGUGGAGCGGCUGGAGGCCGACAAGGCCAAGUACGUCAAGAGCCAGGAGGUCAUCAACGCCAAGCAGGAGCCCGUGAAGCCUGCGGUGCUGGCCAAGCCCCCAGUGUGCCCCGCCGCCAAGCGCGCGCUCGGCAGCCCCACGCUCAAGGGCUUCGGCGGCGGCGGCGGCGGCGGCGGCGGCGGGGGCGCCA